rnacentral:lncRNA from 1 species
CGGCACAGAUAGAGAUAACAAGGUAGAAAAGAAGAGGGGAGAGAGAGCCACAAAGGCCUUAAUAAUGUCCUAGAAAAAGGGGGGUGACAUUGGAAAGUAACACCACCACCCCCUCCAAUCUCCAAUUUCUUUCACUAAAAAUCACUCAAGCCUCUCUCUCUCUCUCUCUCUCUGCUCUCUUUUCUCUCUCUCUCUCUCUUUCUCUCUCUAGCUCAUUCUUGCAACUCACCUAAGUAUUUUAGUGGCCAUUUUCUCCUGGCUAGCUCCCCAAGUAGCCGCCAGCUCAUUCCUUCCCCCGACAUCGACCUCACACCCACCUCCCCUGCCUCCCUCUCUCUCUCCCAAAAUCACAUAUAAUCACACCCCCAUACACCCUCCCAAUCCUCCAUUCAAUUCCUACCCAAUUCUCUCUCCCUCCCUCUCACCGCAUUAGCAUCAUCAAGCCUCCAUCUUGA